AAAUUGAUUGAUUGAUUGAUUGUUGGUUGCUUAACGUCCAGUGGCAAAUAUUUCAUGCAUAUUCAGGACGAGAACAAUUCACAAUAAAUACAAAGGUAGGGUUGUUGUAAUAGAGGCCAUCUAGGAUGAUGGUCGGGGAAAUUUGGACUGCCACUGGAAAAUGAGGGUAUAUUUGAUAGGGACAGAAAUUUUGCCUUGCAACAGGCCACCUACGGACCCCUCAUAGAGUUGUUGCAAGGGUUCUUAACGUGCAAAAAGUGUGGCACUCUCUUUACACGAGGCAUCGGAUUUAACGUCCCCUUCUGACGGACGUGACUGCGAACUUGAUACAUCCCGCACAGCCAAACGG
rnacentral:lncRNA from 1 species